UACGUAGGGUGCAAGCGUUAAUCGGAAUUACUGGGCGUAAAGCGUGCGCAGGCGGUGAUGUAAGACCGAUGUGAAAUCCCCGGGCUUAACCUGGGAACUGCAUUGGUGACUGCAUCGCUAGAGUAUGGCAGAGGGGGGUGGAAUUCCACGUGUAGCAGUGAAAUGCGUAGAGAUGUGGAGGAACACCGAUGGCGAAGGCAGCCCCCUGGGCCAAUACUGACGCUCAUGCACGAAAGCGUGGGGAGCAAACAGG
rnacentral:rRNA from 1 species